AUAAAUAAUAUUAAAAUUACAAAAUAUAAUCAAUAUCCAACUCACAGACUGGUCGACACAACUACAACUGAUUCAGCUAGAAGGGAGAAAACUGGCUAACACCGAUAACCUAUACAGAUACAUUGAUCUCUAUCAAUUUACUAAUAGAAUUAAUCAGUUAAUUUAAUUUUUAGAAGCAAGAAUAAGUCCUAAGGUCUUGUCAAAAUUUUAACAAAGUUUCCCCUAUAUCUGGACUUAACCCCCUGUAAGAAAACUCAAUAGAAAGCAACACACAAGACCUUAGGCCCACAACAACUACACCACAUACCCAUGCAGGGCUCACAAGAACUUAAUCUAAGUCCAGAUCUCUAAUCUCUAGCUUGGGUCCUUAACUUUUUUACAAUCUAAUUAUAACUACAAUCUCGAAAGCUCUUACUAAAAUAUCAUGAUAUAAUUAUA
rnacentral:misc_RNA from 1 species